rnacentral:lncRNA from 1 species
UUUGUAUUGAGCUGGACUUAAACGUGUAAACUAUACGAAAUGGCCACAUAUCAUUCUCAAAACUGAUUUGGAAGAGCUCUUCUUCUAAACAUAAAGCGUUCUUCUUCCCAAUUAUACCCACCAUUUUCAAGACUUUUGAAGCUGAGUUUUGACUUCCAAUUUUCUUUGUUUAGAAGAGGUAAGCGAAUUUUUUGUGUAAAUUCCUUCCUUUGACAUUUUUCUGUUAAGAGUUUUUUAAUUUCUUCCCCAAUUUUUGUCUAUGAAAUCUUAGGGUUAGGAAUGGCAAACAUCAAGUUGAAUUAGUUGUGCAUGGAUGAAAAUUGAUCCAACGCAUGCCGGUGGACGAUGCAAACAUGGGAUUUGUUGCAAACGCGAACUUUUUGGUCAGAUCGGAAUCCCGAAAGAUGAUUUUGGUCUUGUCCUCACUAUGAGGUAUGCUUUCAUGUUCUUAGCCUAUCGAUUAAUUUAAAAAUUAAUGUUGAUUGGGUCGUUAUUGUAUUCUUUAAAUUUUAGGCCAUGCAUUGCAAGUUUUUCAGAUGGAGAGAUAAGGAAAGAGUUGAUGAAAGAUUAAAUUUUAUUCUUACGAGAUUGGUAAACAAAAUCAAAUAGUUAGAAGAAAAUUACGAACGUCUUAAGCUGCAUUUGACAAGCUUGAAGAUUCAAAAUGGAAUGUUAAUUAGAAAGGGAAUAGUAUGAAGGAAAAAAUAGAAGAAACUUGUGUAGAAAAUUUAUUUAGUUUUUUAUGGUUUGUGUAACUAUUGUUUAUGUUACCAGCUUAAUCCAAGUUGGCAACUUGAAGGAAAAUCAAAUGGAGUUUCCAUAGUAGCUGAUUGUUGUAGUAAUAUAAGAUCAUUUUGGUAUUGAUGUCGGAUAGGGUAAGGUAGAUGUGGUUUGGUUGUCUACUUCAUUUUGUAUUGUAAUGAAACAUUAUUUUGAUAUUAUAAUGAAACAUUAUUUUGGUACUGUAUAAUAAUGGAUCAUUAUUGUGGUACCAUGGUAUCAUUUUCUGUGGAAAAAUAUUCUCUUGUUACCGUUUAAGCAAAUGUUGGCAGAAAAACAAGAAGCCUCUUGGCAACAGUUUCAUAACCCGAAUUUCCCACCUACAGGACUCAUGAUGGUGCCUAUUAAUGGGAUCUAGACAAGCCAAACUUAAA